rnacentral:rRNA from 1 species
UGCCUACGGGAGGCAGCAGUGGGGAAUCUUGCGCAAUGGGCGGAAGCCUGACGCAGCGACGCCGCGUGCGGGAAGAAGGCCUUCGGGUUGUAAACCGCUUUCAGGAGGGACGAAGCUACUCGGGUGAAUAGCCCAGAGGGUGACGGUACCUCCAGAAGAAGCCCCGGCUAACUACGUGCCAGCAGCCGCGGUAAUACGUAGGGGGCCAGCGUUGUCCGGAUUCAUUGGGCGUAAAGCGCGUGUAGGCGGCCAGAUAGGUCUGGUGUGAAAACUGGGGGCUCAACCUCCAGCCGUCAUCGGAAACCAUCUGGCUAGAGUCCGGAAGAGGAGAGUGGAAUUCCUGGUGUAGCGGUGAAAUGCGCAGAUAUCAGGAAGAACACCCAUGGCGAAGGCAGCUCUCUGGGACGGUACUGACGCUGAGACGCGAAAGCGUGGGGAGCGAACAGGAUUAGAUACCCUGGUAGUCC